rnacentral:rRNA from 1 species
UACAGAGGGUGCAAGCGUUAAUCGGAAUUACUGGGCGUAAAGCGUGCGUAGACGGUUGCGUAAGUCAGAUGUGAAAGCCCCGGGCUCAACCUGGGAAUUGCAUUUGAGACUGCGUAGCUAGGGUGCGGAAGAGGGAAGCGGAAUUUCCGGUGUAGCGGUGAAAUGCGUAGAUAUCGGAAGGAACACCAGUGGCGAAGGCGGCUCUCUGGGACGGUACUGACGCUGAGACGCGAAAGCGUGGGGAGCGAACGGG